UACGUAGGGUGCGAGCGUUAAUCGGAAUUACUGGGCGUAAAGCGUGCGCAGGCGGUUUUGUAAGACAGACGUGAAAGCCCCGGGCUUAACCUGGGAACGGCGUUUGUGACUGCAAGACUAGAGUAUGGCAGAGGGGGUAGAAUUCCACGUGUAGCAGUGAAAUGCGUAGAGAUGUGGAGGAAUACCGAUGGCGAAGGCAGCCCCCUGGGUCAAUACUGACGCUCAUGCACGAAAGCGUGGGAGCAAACAGG
rnacentral:rRNA from 1 species